CGGGGUCUAAUACCGGAUACCACUCCUGCCUGCAUGGGCGGGGGUUGAAAGCUCCGGCGGUGAAGGAUGAGCCCGCGGCCUAUCAGCUUGUUGGUGGGGUAAUGGCCCACCAAGGCGACGACGGGUAGCCGGCCUGAGAGGGCGACCGGCCACACUGGGACUGAGACACGGCCCAGACUCCUACGGGAGGCAGCAGUGGGGAAUAUUGCACAAUGGGCGAAAGCCUGAUGCAGCGACGCCGCGUGAGGGAUGACGGCCUUCGGGUUGUAAACCUCUUUCAGCAGGGAAGAAGCGAAAGUGACGGUACCUGCAGAAGAAGCGCCGGCUAACUACGUGCCAGCAGCCGCGGUAAUACGUAGGGCGCAAGCGUUGUCCGGAAUUAUUGGGCGUAAAGAGCUCGUAGGCGGUUUGUCACGUCGGAUGUGAAAGCCCGAGGCUUAACCUCGGGUCUGCAUUCGAUACGGGCUAGCUAGAGUGUGGUAGGGGAGAUCGGAAUUCCUGGUGUAGCGGUGAAAUGCGCAGAUAUCAGGAGGAACACCGGUGGCGAAGGCGGAUCUCUGGGCCAUUACUGACGCUGAGGAGCGAAAGCGUGGGGAGCGAACAGGAUUANAUACCCUGGUAGUCCACGCCC
rnacentral:rRNA from 1 species